rnacentral:misc_RNA from 1 species
AGUUGUUGUAUCUGUGUAUAUUUAGAAGCUGAAUCACGUUAUGACAGUUCUGUGGGAGACGCGAGGUCUUUAUUGAGGGAUAAAAGGAAGACCUGAGAGGAGGACCUGGUUCCUGCUGGGGUUUGUACUGACUCACUUAAAUCUCAACUUAUUUAAUUGUGGAUCGAACUUUAUUUCAUCUCAUGGUUGAGGACGAGACUUUGACAUAAUGGUGGGAGUGGCUGGAUGUAAGAAAGGAACAUUUUAGUAGCAUCAGGAGGUCAUCCCACACAAACAUCUCCCACCACAACCUAGUAUUAAAACUCUAUAAAACAGGAGGCAGAACAAUUCCUCACAACUGUACAAUAAGUCAGUACAGUAUGAGGAUUAGUGAACAUCUUCAGGAGAACAUUGUAAGCAAGAUAAAGACAAAAAUAUGCGAGGAGUUUCCUGUUGAAGAUUUAGAAAACAAAGAAUGGCUGUACCUGGUAUGGGCAGCUAUUGGAGUGGGACUGACAUCAUUAUUCGC